UCCCUGAUGGUCCAAAGGUUAGGAGUUGGCACUUUCACUGCUGGGGCCCAGGUUUGAAUCCUGGUUGGGGAA
rnacentral:tRNA from 1 species